AUUGAACGCUGGCGGCAGGCCUAACACAUGCAAGUCGAACGGGUGGCGGACGGGUGAAUAAUGCAUGAGAAUCUGGCUUAUGGAGGGGGCUAACUACGGGAAACUGUAGCUACUACCGCUUACCAUGAGAUGUGCCCACGUGGGAUUAGGUAGUUGGUGAGGUAAAGGCUCACCAAGCCGACGAUCCCUAGCUGGUCUGAGAGGCUGACCAGCCACACUGGGACUGAGACACGGCCCAGACUCCUACGGGAGGCAGCAGUGGGGAAUAUUGCGCAAUGGGCGCAAGUCUGACGCAGCCAUGCCGCGUGAAUGAAGAAGGCUUUCGGGUUGUAAAGUUCUUUUGGUAGAGAGGCGUUAUCUACAGAAGAAGCACCGGCUAACUCCGUGCCAGCAGCCGCGGUAAUAC
rnacentral:rRNA from 1 species